rnacentral:rRNA from 1 species
GUUUAACGGCCGCGGUAUCCUAACCGUGCAAAGGUAGCGCAAUCAAUUGUCCCAUAAAUCGAGACUAGUAUGAAUGGCUAAACGAGGUCUUAACUGUCUCUUGCAGGCAAUCGGUGAAAUUGAUCUCCCUGUGCAAAAGCAGGGAUAAACCCAUAAGACGAGAAGACCCUGUGGAACUUCAAAACCAGCGACCACCCCAAUAAGACACAAACACCCACCGGGUUCACCAACACAUUGGGACGAUGGUCCGCGUUUUUCGGUUGGGGCGACCUUGGAGAAAAACAAAUCCUCCAAAAAUUAGACCACACCUCUAGACCUAGAGCAACCUCUCAACGUGCUAACAGCAACCAGACCCAAUACAAUUGACCUAUGGACCAAGCUACCCCAGGGAUAACAGCGCAAUCUCCCCCGAGAGUCCGUAUCGACGGGGAGGUUUACGACC